rnacentral:tRNA from 6 species
GCGUUCAUAGCUCAGUUGGUUAGAGCACCACCUUGACAUGGUGGGGGUCGGUGGUUCGAGUCCACUCGGACGCA